rnacentral:tRNA from 1 species
UCUGGGCUGGGCCGGUUCUGGGCUGGGCCGGUCUUGAGCUGGGCCGCCUCUGAGCCGGGCCACCUCUGAGCUGAGCGGUCCGGCUGCCCAGACCC